CUCUCUCUCUCUCUCUCUCUUUCUCUAUCUAUCUAUCUAUCUCUCUAUCUAUCUCUUUCUUAUCUAAUUUAAUAAUGUAGUAAAUAACUAAUCCAUGUAAAAACAAUUGGAACUUUUAUUUUUUAUGUUAAUAUAUAUUAUUUUAGGUGUUCCUUUUAUUCCGUGAUAUAAUUUAUUCCUUCGUCGAACUAUUAACCUGAAGAAAUUGCAGAAAAUCAUGCAUAACUCAUUGCAUACGUGGUUUCUCAAUAUUAAUAUGCCCUCGGUAUGGCGAAUAUUUUAUGAGAGUCGUGAAAAUAGUUAUGAGGGCAAAUACCGAUGUGAUCUCGAGAAUAUCACGUCAUUUUUAUUCUCUGCUUUUACCAGUCUAUAAAUCCAUCGAAUAAAGAUAGUUCAUAUCUUUUCGCACGUCGUUGUAGGAUACUUUAAAUUUUCAAAUAUAGAAAUCUUUCAUAAAAAUAUGAAUACUAUAAAAGAAAGUAAACACGAAAGAGAUAAGGACUCCAAUAUAUUCUAUAUUCAAUGAACGCCGAUUAUUAUUCUUACUUUCUUAGAGAUAUCAACGAUUUGUUUCUUUUUCUUUUUCUUUUUUAAAACAAAAAAAUCAAGGAGAUAUUAAUAGAUUUUAAGAAGAAAAAAAAAAGAAAAAAAAGUUAAUUUGAAAAAAUUCAUCAUUAGUUUUUGAAGGAUAAUCAUUUCUAAAAGCAAUACAAUAAAGGUAUUUUUCUAAAACGACAUUAUUCAUGUGCGAGAUAUCAAAGUAAACUCAGAUUCUGUUUUAUACCAUCAUUUUUCAACAUCAUAAGUAACAGCUUAAGAAGAAAAAAAAGAAAAGAGAAAAGGAAAAAAAAAAUAUGCAAGAGGAAUCUCAGGCGAGUAUAAAAAGCAAAUAAAAAAACAAAAAAGAAAAAAAAAAAA